rnacentral:rRNA from 1 species
UACGGAGGGUGCAAGCGUUGCUCGGAAUCAUUGGGCGUAAAGCGUACGCAGGCUGUUUGUUAAGUCGGGUGUGAAAGCCCGGGGCUCAACCCCGGAACGGCGCCCGAAACUGGCAAGCUUGAAUGCGGGAGAGGGAAGCGGAAUUCCUGGUGUAGAGGUGAAAUUCGUAGAUAUCAGGAGGAACACCGGUGGCGAAAGCGGCUUCCUGGCCCGACAUUGACGCUCAUGUACGAAAGCGUGGGGAGCAAACAGG